rnacentral:sRNA from 1 species
CUGACAUGCGGGAGGGAGAGAGUAACCAGAGAGAGGAAACGAUCUCAACGGGGAUUUGGGAAGGGUGAAAUUCUGCCCUGGCCCCCACCCAGCAGCAGCAGCUUUGAGGCCCUUAGCGGCUGGGCAGCGCUGGGCAGGGAAGAACACUGGACGACCAAGCACAAGAAGCCCUCGUAGCCAACGCCCAACCAUCGCAUCCACUAAGCAGCAAACCAAGAAGUGCUUGUUUUCCCGC